AGAGUUUGAUCCUGGCUCAGGACGAACGCUGGCGGCGUGCCUAACACAUGCAAGUCGAGCGAUGAAGUUUCCUUCGGGAAAUGGAUUAGCGGCGGACGGGUGAGUAACACGUGGGUAACCUGCCUUAUAGUGGGGGAUAGCCUUUCGAAAGGAAGAUUAAUACCGCAUAAGAUUGUAGUAUCGCAUGAUAUAGCAAUUAAAGGAGCAAUUCGCUAUAAGAUGGACCCGCGUCGCAUUAGCUAGUUGGUGAGGUAAUGGCUCACCAAGGCGACGAUGCGUAGCCGACCUGAGAGGGUGAUCGGCCACAUUGGGACUGAGACACGGCCCAGACUCCUACGGGAGGCAGCAGUGGGGAAUAUUGCACAAUGGGCGAAAGCCUGAUGCAGCAACGCCGCGUGAGUGAUGACGGCCUUCGGGUUGCAAAACUCUGUCUUCAGGGACGAUAAUGACGGUACCUGAGG
rnacentral:rRNA from 1 species